rnacentral:rRNA from 1 species
CCAGACUCCUACGGGAGGCAGCAGUGAGGAAUAUUGGUCAAUGGGCGGGAGCCUGAACCAGCCAAGCCGCGUGAGGGAAGAAGGUACAGCGUAUCGUAAACCUCCUUUGUCAGGGAACAAAGGCGGGGACUAGUCCCCGGAUGAGGGUACCUGAAGAAAAAGCAUCGGCUAACUCCGUGCCAGCAGCCGCGGUAAUACGGGGGGUACAAGCGUUGUCCGGAAUCAUUGGGCGUAAAGCGUUCGUAGGCGGUAAAGUAAGUCAGAUGUUAAAGCCCGGGGCUCAACUCCGGUUCGGCAUUUGAUACUACUUGACUAGAAUGCGGUAGAGGUAAAGGGGAUUCCUGGUGUAGCGGUGAAAUGCGUAGAUAUCAGGAGGAACAUCGGUGGCGAAAGCGCUUUACUGGGCCGUUAUUGACGCUGAGGAGCGAAAGCCAGGGUAGCAAACGGGAUUAGAUACCCGCGUA